GAUGAACGCUGACAGAAUGCUUAACACAUGCAAGUCAACUUGAAUUUGGGUUUUUAACUUAGAUUUGGGUGGCGGACGGGUGAGCAACGCGUAAAGAACUUGCCUCACAGCUAGGGACAACAUUUAGAAAUGAAUGCUAAUACCUGAUAUUAUGAUUUUAAGGCAUCUUAGAAUUAUGAAAGCUAUAAGCACUGUGAGAGAGCUUUGCGUCCCAUUAGCUAGUUGGAGAGGUAACAGCUCACCAAGGCAAUGAUGGGUAGCCGGCCUGAGAGGGUGAACGGCCACAAGGGGACUGAGACACGGCCCUUACUCCUACGGGAGGCAGCAGUGGGGAAUAUUGGACAAUGGACCGAGAGUCUGAUCCAGCAAUUCUGUGUGCACGAUGAAGUUUUUCGGAAUGUAAAGUGCUUUCAGUUGGGAAGAAAUAAAUGACGGUACCAACAGAAGAAGUGACGGCUAAAUACGUGCCAGCAGCCGCGGUAAUACGUAUGUCACGAGCGUUAUCCGGAUUUAUUGGGCGUAAAGCGCGUCUAGGUGGUUAUGUAAGUCUGAUGUGAAAAUGCAGGGCUCAACUCUGUAUUGCGUUGGAAACUGUGUAACUAGUGUACUGGAGAGGUAAGCGGAACUACAAGUGUAGAGGUGAAAUUCGUAGAUAUUUGUAGGAAUGCCGAUGGGGAAGCCAGCUUACUGGACAGAUACUGACGCUAAAGCGCGAAAGCGUGGGUAGCAAACAGG
rnacentral:rRNA from 1 species